rnacentral:rRNA from 1 species
GACGAACGCUGGCGGCGUGCUUAACACAUGCAAGUCGAACGGAAAGGCCCUGCUUUUGUGGGGUGCUCGAGUGGCGAACGGUGAGUAACACGUGAGUAACCUGCCCUUGACUUUGGGAUAACUUCAGGAAACUGGGGCUAAUACCGGAUAGGAGCUCCUGCUGCAUGGUGGGGGUUGGAAAGUUUCGGCGGUUGGGGAUGGACUCGCGGCUUAUCAGCUUGUUGGUGGGGUAGUGGCUUACCAAGGCUUUGACGGGUAGCCGGCCUGAGAGGGUGACCGGCCACAUUGGGACUGAGAUACGGGCCCAGACUCCUACGGGAGGCAGCAGUGGGGAAUAUUGCACAAUGGGCGGAAGCCUGAUGCAGCAACGCCGCGUGCGGGAUGACGGCCUCGGUGUAACGACUUCGUCCUCGUGACGAAGCGUGAGUGACGGUAAUGGGU